rnacentral:lncRNA from 1 species
GUCCUCCCCCUCACUUGGAACACACCCAUCCCAUGUUCUUGCCACUUCCUGAAGCAGCUCUGGAGUCCUCUUUCCUGGGCGUCUAUAGUUGUGCUAUCCUAGCUGCCUCGAUGUCCUGAAUGGAUUCAAAACGGUUCCCUGUCAUGGUCAUUUUGACUUUGGGGAAGACCUGGAAGUCACAUAGUGCCGGAUCCAGUGAUUAAGGACAGGAAGGAAAUUCUGCUGGCUUCUAGAGGAUACAGGCCAAGGAGGCUGGGUGAAGGGAAGAAAGAGAAAAGAAAAAAAAAGAGAAUAGAAGGAAACAAAUGGAAACAAAACUUUUAGUGGCACUCCAUUGUUUAUCAAUACCGCACUUUUAAAUCUAUUCUUCUGUUGAUGGACAUAUAGGCUGAUUCCAAGAUUUAGCUAUUAUGAAUUUUGCUGCUAUAAUAUGGGCUCUCAAAUGCCAGCAGGAUGAACUCGAAACUACUUGAAAG